ACUGGCCAUCUGUCACCGAACGGAGCCGCAAUUAUAAAUUCGAUGAAACUGGUGAUGUGCGUGAUGGUCAUCAUUCUCCUGGCAGUGGUCACGGCGCCGGUGUCUGACGGAAUAUCCCGGUGAAGGUGAUUCAUGAGGGUGUUUUCUUACCCUCAUCCAAAACAGCGAGACCAGGUCAGGGAAGAGCAGUGGAUACAUCUACAGAAAAUAACGACAGGACUCUGAACUUCCGGCGGUGAAAAGAAAAUAGGCCUACUCGGAUAUCUGCUCGCUGAUUUUGCUGGCCUUUAUUUAAUAUAGUAACUGUUAUUUAUGUCUGUUUAAAAUACCCGCACACACAUAGAGAUACAAACAUACAUAUAUCCAUACAUACAUACACAUACGUGUAUGCAUACACCAGACAUGCAUGCACGCACAUACGCAUGCAUAUUUAAAAUUGUGAAUGGCUACAACAAUCUGAUGCAACUCUCAUAAUUGUCCUGCUGGAAACACCUGCAGCACUUUCCCAACUGAUCACGUGUGGUGAAAUUUGUUUCAUCAAAAUUACUAAUUUGCAUUAACAAAAAUUAAUAGUUUCAAAACUCCAUGAACAAUUGUGUAUAUGUCUUCUUCUUUUUUAACAUAUUUGUCGUGCUGGGGUGUCGUUAAACAUCUAAUAUAAUCUAAUAUUUCUUUUUGCAAUGUGUGGGCGUUUCAUCCAAAAUGGGCGGGUCAUAGCCCCCUAGUAUAGAGCUCGCCUCAUACGCGGUCGGUAUAGGAUCGAUCCACGUCGGUGGGCCCAUUCUUCGAUUAGUCAUUGCAACACAACUGGUGUAUCUAAUGCGUGGUAUGUGUUGGCCUUUCUGUGGGAUGGUGCAUAUAAAAUACCCCUCGUUACCAAUGAAAAAAACACAUGCAGUGGGUUUCAUCCCCAAGUUUGACAUUCAUUAGACGAUUGUUAAUAAAUCAAUGUGCGUUAUUUGUGUCGUAUCAAAACACAAUUUGAACUUA